AGCAGGGAGAUGGAAUAGGGGCUUGCUCCGUCCACUCCACGCAUCGACCUGGUAUUGCAGUACCUCCAGGAACGGUGCACCCCCU
rnacentral:snRNA from 1 species